UAAAUCUUAUUGUUUACUAAAGCUUAGUCAACCAAAAGUUCAUAACGAACAAUAGUGAAUGGCAACUUGAGCCAGUCACUGGAAGACCAUAUCGUGACUACUAAAAUCACUGCACGACCCUGCUCAUCUCUGAUUAGAACAUGUGCCGCAAUGUUGCCGGACUUUGCACGCAUCCAUUGGCAGCGCCAAUGCAAUGUUUACUCAUGCAUGUACACGUGAGAGUGUGUGUGUUUGUGGAACAAAAACCUAUACAGACUUAGGCGGAGGAGAAUCAAAGUGCUUAAUUGCAUUUAAUGGGACACUCUUUAUGCAAGUGGCAAAUGCCGGACAGGCAAAGCAAACAACUGAACUGCCUCACUUCGCAAACGAUGGCGACGUCGGUUGUCUGCUCCAGUGAUAAGACACAGCCACAGACGACACCGCAUGUUUGCCCGAACAAGACCCUACACAAGUUUCGUUCUGUGCACUUAAAAGUACACAUGCUUAUCCUCCCAAGCUCCACUCGCCACCAUCCAUCCCUUAGAACGGAAUGGUAGGGCGUUAUAUGGGGUGUAGUGUGGAGGGGGCGACGACAGCGGCAGCGUAGCGUAACCAAAGGCGCAUGCAAAUUUACAGAAAAGGCACACAAAAUGUGACAAACGACCUUCAGAAUAGUGGGGGAGGAGUGGCGGGCAGACAGACAGAAACAUCAUCCUUAGCAUGAAAAACAGGCAGGCGGCAGGCCAGGCCGCUCUGGCUGGCACAUCUGCAUACAUAUAUAAUUGAAGAAAUCAAGGCGCUAAUGAACAACGCUCGGCUCGGCUGCCGCUCUUUUUCUCCUCUCCGGCAAACAAAUCGAUAUUUCCGAAUGGUGCCCCAGGAACAGAACGGAACGGAGCGGAGCCGGCCAAUCUGACGAGCGCACGACACGCGCUCCCAAGGGGCAAGCAACAGCAGCCCUUGGUCUGAUUGUACUUUGUGUAAUUGUAUUAGCCGAUUAAGUGGAAAUUUACUGCCUUGGCCGGGAGCACGAUGAUCAAUGUUUAAUGUGGUCAGUCGGACGGUGCGUCGGCUAUGGUGGAUUGAAUUGGUUUUGGCAUUUGGCUACCAAACGCUACUCACUCUCACUAAUCUUCUUGUUUCAAGCGAUUACUUUCUCCAGUUUUCUGCCGGCACGGUGUCAUAAACUUCCAAGCUUGAGAAAAAAAUUACUCUAUAUUUCACGAAUAAAAAUGAUCGGAAUGUCAAAAA